rnacentral:rRNA from 1 species
UACGUAGGGACCAAGCGUUGUUCGGAUUUACUGGGCGUAAAGGGCGCGUAGGCGGCGCGGUAAGUCACUUGUGAAAUCUCUGAGCUUAACUCAGAACGGCCAAGUGAUACUGCAGUGCUAGAGUGUGGAAGGGGCAAUCGGAAUUCUUGGUGUAGCGGUGAAAUGCGUAGAUAUCUGGAGGAACACCGGUGGCGAAGGCGGCAUCCUGGGCCGGUAUUGACGCUGAGGAGCGAAAGCCAGGGGAGCAAACGGG